ACGGAAGGCAGCAGUGGGGAAUAUUGGACAAUGGGGGGAACCCUGAUCCAGCGACGCCGCGUGAGUGAAGAAGUAUUUCGGUAUGUAAAGCUCUUUAAGCAGGAAAGAAAAUGACGGUACCUGCAGAAUAAGCCCCGGCUAACUACGUGCCAGCAGCCGCGGUAAUACGUCGGGGGCAAGCGUUAUCCGGAUUUACUGGGGAUAAAGGGAGCGUAGACGGCAAUGCAAGUCUGAAGUGAAAGCCCGUGGCUUAACUGCGGGACUGCUUUGGAAACUGUAUGGCUGGAGUGUCGGAGAGGUGAGUGGAAUUCCCAGUGUAGCGGUGAAAUGCGUAGAUAUUGGGAGGAACACCGGAGGCGAAGGCGGCUCACUGGACGAUUACUGACGUUGAGGCUCGAAAGCGUGGGGAGCAAACAGGAUUAGAUACCCUGGUA
rnacentral:rRNA from 1 species